GGCGGGAACCUUUGGAGCGGGGGUCGGGCGCCGCCAGCGGGGGCCAGCUUGCCCUGAAGAGGGAAAGGAGAAGGCUGUUCGAGAGCCCUGGUCUGGGAGUCGGGAGACCCGGGUUCCAUUUGUAUGUACUUGAGGGAGGAAGCGAACUUCUGGGUGCGUCGCUUUUCUGGUUUCCAGAAGCGAAUGCUGUUCCUUGCUUUUCCAGUUGGCAGAGUUGCGUGGGUUGAAUGAGUAUAGAUUUCUGCCCUCCCUCAAGAGAAGGUUCCAGGAGACAAACCAGUGUCGCUUGUGUUCCUAACAGCUUAUCUCUGGGUUAUUGUGAUCUGUAUAUAUUAUUGAGAAGAGGAUAAAAUCAAGAUUCUGCAAUGCAGGUCCCUUGUUCUGCACAGAGGACAUCUUCCUUCAUGAUUUUUUUUUUAGGCAAGAAGACCAAGCCUGAUGUAACAAACAGUGUUAAGUGACUUGUGGAAGAUGACGAGGAUGUCGAGGGUCAGGGAACCUGGUCAUCAGGGGUUUACA
rnacentral:lncRNA from 1 species